UACGUAGGGGGCGAGCGUUGUCCGGAUUUAUUGGGCGUAAAGAGCUCGUAGGCGGUUCGGUAAGUCGGAUGUGAAAUCUCCACGCUCAACGUGGAGGGGCCAUUCGAUACUGCCGUGACUCGAGUCCGGUAGGGGAGUGUGGAAUUCCCGGUGUAGCGGUGAAAUGCGCAGAUAUCAGGAGGAACACCGGUGGCGAAGGCGGGUCUCUGGGCCGAAAUUGACGCUGAGGAGCGAAAGCGUGGGGAGCAAACAGG
rnacentral:rRNA from 1 species